rnacentral:rRNA from 1 species
CUACCCGGGUAUCUAAUCCUGUUGGCUACCUACGCUUUCGUCCAUCAGCGUCAGUAUGUUAUUAGUGAUCUGCCUUCGCAAUCGGUGUUCUGUGUAAUAUCUAUGCAUUUCACCGCUACACUACACAUUCCAACCACUUCAUAACAACUCCAGGACAACAGUAUCAAUGGCAGUUCUCCCGUUAAGCGGAAGAAUUUCACCACUGACUUACUGCCCCGCCUACGGACCCUUUAAACCCAAUGAUUCCGGAUAACGCUUGGAUCCUCCGUAUUACCGCGGCUGCUGGCAC